rnacentral:lncRNA from 1 species
AGAUCCAAGAAGCAAGAAGUCUUUUGCAAGACGAGCUCCUCCACCUAUGGCAGCAGUGCUUACCUCUCAGUCUUGGCCAAAGGUCAGCAUUAGGAAUUCACAUGUCGUCCAGUCCUGCUACGAUUGAAGCCAGUUGUUCUUGAUCCUGACUGCCCACUAGAAUCCCCUGGAGUAAUGCUGAAACAUACUGAAUGUCACCUCAAAUUCAUUGAAUCAGAAUCUCUGGGCAUAGUCCAUCACCUGGAGGAGCUCCCACUGGCAGGACCACAUUUUCCCCAUUUGGAAGAAUGAAACGCAGGAUCUGGAGAGCCCUCUUCUGUCAGCACCUGAGUCCCCCAUUCUCCACCUGGUGGGCUGUUAUAAGAAAGAGUCUGACGUGGCCUGUUGAGCAUGCAUUAUACAUCUGCUUGAACAAUUUACUAUGUCCCAAAGACAAGAAUGAUGUCCCUAAAGAUAGUCAUGUGGCUUCCCCCCAUAUCAGCUUUUCUUUAAGGAUAACCAUCUCUUCCUGGAAACUAAAGAUUGAUUACAGACCUGCUGUGCUCACCUUGUGACCACUGACCGGCUGACCACCGACCUGCUGUGUCAGCUAAGCAUCUUGUGACAAUUGUAAAAGGGACAUUCCUGUAAUAUGUGAUGUAUGCUCUUUGUUUCAAGACGGUAUAUAACCACUCUGUACAUCCUGCUUCUUUGGUGCCCUUCCUUGCUUGAGGAAGGAAGGCCCCUGGCUAGUCCUCAGAUCU